rnacentral:rRNA from 1 species
GAUGAACGCUGGCGGCGUGCCUAAUACAUGCAAGUCGAGCGAACAGAUAAGGAGCUUGCUCCUUGACGUUAGCGGCGGACGGGUGAGUAACACGUGGGUAACCUACCUAUAAGACUGGAAUAACUCCGGGAAACCGGGGCUAAUGCCGGAUAACAUGUUGAACCGCAUGGUUCUACAGUGAAAGGCGGCUUUGCUGUCACUUAUAGAUGGACCCGCGCCGUAUUAGCUAGUUGGUGAGGUAACGGCUCACCAAGGCAACGAUACGUAGCCGACCUGAGAGGGUGAUCGGCCACACUGGAACUGAGACACGGUCCAGGCUCCUACGGGAGGCAGCAGUAGGGAAUCUUCCGCAAUGGGCGAAAGCCUGACGGAGCAACGCCGCGUGAGUGAUGAAGGUCUUCGGAUCGUAAAACUCUGUUAUUAGGGAAGAACAAAUGCGUAAGUAACUGUGCGCGUCUUGACGGUACCUAAUCAGAAAGCCACGGCUAACUACGUG